rnacentral:lncRNA from 1 species
AGUAAGUUGACUAUCUAAAAUACAUAAAUAAUAUAUUUAAGAAUAUUUCUUAAUCAAAAAGUUCUAUAUUUUAUAAUAAGUUAAGAAUUAAUUGAAUUCAAAUUAGCUCUUGUUAUGCUGUAAAUAAUUCCCAACACAAAAAAAAUAAUAUGUCCAUACAUAAUAAAGGUAACGAAGUGCAAUAAUUUAGUCUUGUAAAUAUAUUAUUUCGUAAACAUUCAACUUCCAUUAUUAUAAAUUCCUAUAUUUUGAAGGGAGACCAUGGCUGAUCGUAUUGUUCAAAAAAGGGAGAUAGGAUAACUUUCAAAUAUUACAUCCCUAGGAUAAUUUCCAAAAGUUAAAUUAGAUCCAGAUAUAUGUGGGUCGUAAAAUGUUCUUUUAAUUAAAAUGUUGUUUUUUACAUGUUUACAUACACUUGUUAAAUGAAGAUGUACAGUUUUUGAGGAAUAAAAAAGUCGAAUACUCCUAACGAAAUUGCUAAAUUAAAUUGAAUGUACAAAAAAAGAGAACGCUUUCAUGUAUGUUUGGAGUGCCAAAGCUUUUUUUCUCUUUAUAAAACGAGAGGUCUACACAUGGAUAAGUGAAAGGAAAUCAGGAAUAUUUAUCGACUAAGGUAACAAUAUAUUCAUUUUUGCUUUAUGAAGGUAAGGGUCCCUUAAAAUCAAAAAAAAUUAUAAAAAAAAUAGUCAAAAUAAAGUUGAAAGACUAAUAGCCGACAAAAAUAACUAUCUUUUAUUUUCAAAGAAGUAGAAUAACUAUGUCUGUUGUGAUUCAUAUCGAUCUCCUCUUAUUCCCUUAUGUAAAUAUAGAUGCAUUAAGUCAUAAUUAAUUAUUAAAAUCUAUUAUAUAUAAAUUAUGGCCAACUCUUAAUAAUUAUAAUAAAAUUGCAUAUUUGUAGCACGUCAACCCAAAAGGAAGUAAGAAUAAUUUUUGUCACAUUGAACAUGAAAUAAAUUUUCCAUCAAAUUAUAAUUCAUUUCAACGAACCAAUGAUUCUGAUACUUUUAAGGCACCUCUAAUUGUACUUAAAGUAGCCAAAAUUCCCUGUAACAUUUAUAGAAUUAGGAAAUUAUAUUUCUAAGACAAUAUUGGGCCAAAUUAAGUCAAGUAGAGAAAACGUAGUCUGACAGUUAGAUAAGUCUUCAAUUCUUUCUACAUAAAAGCAUAUCCUCGAUCCCAGUGAAUAUAUUCCGGCAACCCGAAAAUGGCACCAAAAGCCUGAAGAUAUCUAAUCACUGAUUUAGACGAGAGGUAUACACAUGGAUAAGCGAAAGGAAAUCAGGAAUAUUCAUCGACUAAGGUAACAAUAUAUUCAUUUUUGCUUUAUGAAGGUAAGGGUCCCUUAAAAUCAAGGAUCACUCUUUGAAGAUGUUUAGUAACUUUAAUUAAUUUGUUACAGUCAUUCCUUAUAAAUUAGGGUUUCAGUUCUUGGAAUUCCUUGCAAGUCGAGCUCACGUUCUUGACAUAUUCGAUGGAAAAUGGGAGAUUACAAGAUCUAACAUAGUGGAACAUUCGUAUAAUCCCAGGAUGGCAUAAUAUCUUAUGAAUACUCUGCAGUAUAUCAGAUGAGUUAUCAAACAUUAUUCCACACAUUGUUGAUAAUAGAUCUGCAACCACAUUUUUCUCUCCAGGUCGAUAUUAGAUGUCAAAAGAAAAUACGACAAUUCCAAUCUCCAUCUAGAAAUUUUCUCAUUCUUGAUCUUAUUAGAAUGUUUUAGAAACUCAAAGCUUUCUUAUUUGUAAGAAGCGAGAAUGGUUUUCCUAUCAGAAAAAGCUCCCAAGCUUGCAAAGCUUCUACAAUUGCAUAAGUUCCCUUUUCUACUGCAGAAUUAUGUCUCUCAGACUUAUACAACAAUCGAAAAUUCCAAAAGAAAGCAACCGGUUUUCCAAAUUGGCUCAAGAAGACACCAAUCGCACUCUCCGAAGCAUCCGUCUCUACUGUUAAUCUUUCCAUUGGGUCGAUAACCAUGAUGACUGCAUUUCCAAUGCCUUUCUUAAUUUUCGCACAAGUCUCUUUCGAUUUUGCAUUCCAAGGGUAAUUUUGAGGGUGUACCAUAGACUAUAACUUCUUUGAGAAUGAGGGUAUCUAUCGAGAAUAAUGGGCAAACAUCACCAAGAUGCGUCGUAACUCUCUCAUUCCUAGGUUCUGGCAUUGUCAUAAGUGACUCCAGUCUUUCUGGAUCCGGUUUCAUGAUAGCACUUUCUAUCGGAGACCACAAAAGCUUUAUUUUCGUGGCGGAAUAUUUGCAUUUACUCUCAUUUGUUGUCAACCCAUACUUAUCUACCGCUUUCAUGAAAGGUUAUACAUUCUUAUCGAGCUCCUUUUGAUCUUUUCCAAAGAUAGUAACGUCAUCAAUAUUUGCAUAAGUCUUUCGUGGAUUCUAAUCGGCUAUAAUGAAAUCUAUCACACGUUGAAAACUAGAGACUCUAUUAUUGACCCCAAAUGGUAUAAGACAAAAUUGAUAUAAUCGACCACAGGCUUCAAAAGCAGGAUUUUCUUUUUCACUUUUUUCCAUCCCGACCUGAUGAUAAGCACUUUUAAGAUCCACCGUUGUGAAAAUUUUGUUGACGGCCACUUUACACAGUACUUCUUCAAUUUGUGGAAGAAAAUAGGCAUUUAACAAGUAAUCAGCAUUUGGGUUCCAUGAUGAUGAAUUGGGAUCGAUAAUUUCCUCGUCCAUUAAUCUCUUCUUUUCUUGAUAAAUAGACUCUCUAUCCUCUUCUGAACGUUUUCAUGACUUUGUUAUGAUAGGUUUAACAUCUGGAAGAAGGUUUCGAAAUAAUGCAGGCGAAGGAACAUCCUUGACACACAUUUAUUAAUAUUAGCUAUUUACAAAAAGAUUGUCCCUACUAUAUAAAUUGGAAAGAAGUGAGGGUCAUACGUCCAGAUGGAUCCUGUAGUACAAAUUACUUUUUGAUCUAUGGAAUAUAUAAAAUUUAUUAUCGAAACGAUAAAUACGUAGCUAUAUGUU